rnacentral:lncRNA from 1 species
CUGGCCCCAGCGUCUGACUAGCAGGCCCGGUGGGGCCCAGAAACGUGCGUGGUGUGAUUCUGAUGCACGCGGGAUGCAGACGACAUUCAGGGACGCUGUCCCCGCUCCUGGAACACUUCUGAGUGACUUGCUAGGCACCUGGAGCGCCUCUUCAGCGUCUCAGGCUUUGCCACCCCAGGACUGAGGAAGACGUCCCCACUCCCUUCCUACCCUCACGGCCACGCCCCCCACCACAAGCCCCAGCCCCGCUAGGCUAAGACUUCACAGAAGACAAGUACCACUCACUCCCCAAAAAGACACCAAGCCAACAACCCCUGGGGACACGGCUCCCCACAGCCCACCCACUCCAAGAGACAGACCCACCCUGCGCCGGAGAAGCGAGGCUCCCAGCAUGCUGUGGGGAGCGCUGCUGACCCUUGCAGGAGCAGUGGCCAGUGCGACCUCGUUGACAUUUUUCCCUGCCUGAUUCUCACAAAACCCAGUGGGGUGGCCGAGAUUACAGUGAGCAAGCAAUGCAGGGUCGUGGGAAGGAAGGUGAUGAUCCCAAGGUCAAGCAGCCAGACCGGGCACAACAGCAACCUGCAGAUGCCAACCCACUGAAGCGCCUCUACUGACUGCUAGUUCACACAGCCCGCCACUUACCAGAAGCGGGUGUGUGACUGCAAGCUCAGCCAUCACCCCUGCCCCUCUGAACACAAGCCCACAAGUGAGGUGACUUGCCCAAGGUCACACCCAGCAGCUGGGCAGGACAGGGUGCAGCCAGAUGCACCCUUCUGCACCUCCCGGCCCAAGUCCCACCAACUCCUCUGCUCUUGGGAGCUGACCCUCAGCCUCUUCCUUCCCUUCCCCGCAAGGCAGCCCACUAACUGGGAGACCAAAGGAGACCACCAGACCCCAGUCCCGAAAACCCCAGCCGGAAGUUCUCACAAGGAAGAGCAGCUGGGGCUGGGAUCAGGGGCCUGUGUCGCCUCCUCCUCUGCACCAGAAUCUGCCGGCCCAGCUUCUCCAAUGCUCCAUCCUGC